rnacentral:lncRNA from 1 species
GCGCAAUGUUGUUUGAGAUACCCUGAUUGGACAUCAUGAUGUGCAGGAACAAGCAUGAUGUCAGGAAAAGAAAACUUCAGUUAGAAACAAUUUUACUCCAUUGAGGACUAGUUGCUCUCCUGCACAUGAUGACAGGAGUAAAAUAUAAUUGACUUGUCAGAAGGUAUCCGGUUGGCCCCAGAAGGUAUAGUAUCAUCUCAGGAGAUCAAGAGUGGUCAUGCAUACCUCAAUGGGACAAAGUAUCUCCUCUGAGACUUCAGAAAAUCCUUUUCUUCUGGAGCCACUCUGUUCUGGAUUACCCUGAGAUUUUAAUGAGAUAAAGUCUAGAGAUGUAUAUAACUUUUCUGCAUCAUUUUGGAAUUUUAAUGAGAUGAAACGAGACCCAGAGACACCUGUUCUAGACCACUUUGGGAUCUUAAUGAGGAUGCAAACAGGUUGAAGACAAGAGCUCUCUUUAAUGGAACCUGAACAGUGCCUAACUCCUGUAGAUAUUCACUGAAUGUUAAAUAACAACAGUGAUCAUGUAAUAAUGAUGCCCAAUUCACUUGGGAGAGAAUACCAAAUAGCUUGGAAUUUUCCUGUUACUGCCAGCAUGGCCUGAGAGCAUCCUGAGAGAGGUCAAAAGUCCGUCUGACUCACCUGUGCUGAGUGACUUGAAUGCCAUCUAAUCUAACUUCAAGGUGACUGGAUAGAUUGUACAUGUGGUAAUAAAAUGCUAAUCGUAGUGUCAUAAUUUUAGAGAUUCAAGAAGAAAUUAUUAGAAACACAAAUUAAGAGCUUUAAUAUGCUCAUAUGUACCUGUGCAUAACUUUUUUUAAAGCACCUAGAAACUGCAAGUCAAUAAACAUUGUUUUCCCAUGCUGCCCUAUACUCAUCCAACCCAGCGAUGAUGAAAUGCAUACUGACAAGAGCAAUAAGAAAAAUAAUAACAUUAUCACAGGAUCAAUGUCUAUUGCUAGCUUCAUAAAGGACUUGGCUUCCCAUUGAUGUUUAAUUUUUGUAAAUGCCUCUGGAAAUUUAAGUAGCAGUAGGAAAACAUAAUGUUCAAUUUCUCCUAACAUAACCUCUUAAACUUUGGACGUGUGCAGUUUUCAGUCUGGGACAAAUUUAGGAGAACAAAUCUCUUUGAAACAGACUGGCAGAUUUAUUUUAAAUAAGCUUGCUUUAAGGCUACAGGUCUAGGAGACAGAAUCAUAGAAGAUGAUUGGAACAACGGGAGCUGAAAAAUCUUGGAAGCCUGCUUUUUCUGUGACUCGUUUUGGUGUAUACAUCAGCAUAAAGGGGAGAGUCUCCUCUAUCCAUGUCAUGGCUGAUGGUAGCAUCUGUGCCAAAUUUUAAGCACUAGGGGACAAGUUGGGAGGCUCCGAAAAGCUCACCUGUCUCAGAACACCACGAUAUCCUAGCAUUUUUGUUAUUCCUCCUUGCUCUACCUCAACUGCUCUGGCAUUGACUCAAAUUCCUGGAACUGCAUAAUCAGCAUCUGGACGAAUAAUAAAUGAACUCCUGCUAGCUCUACCAUAGGAGAAGCAUUAGAGUACUUUGAAGUCCUAGAACCUUCAUCUUCUUAGACUUAAGAGUGGUAUUUCUGAAACUUGAGCUUGCAUCAGACUCACCUAAGGCAUCAUGUUAAAACACUGAUUGCUGAACUCUACCCUGAUAGUUUUUGGUUCUGUAGUUCUAAGGCAGAGCUCAUUAAUUUGAGUUUCUAACCAGUUCCCAUAUGAUGCUGAUGCAACUUGUCCUGCAGACCAUACAUUGAGGACCGCUAGCCUAGAGUUCCCCUUUUUUGACCCAGAUGCUGGACUGUUGUAAGCCAACAGUUAGGUCUUUCUGAAAUCCAUGGGCUCAAGCAGGGGCAGAAAAUAUCCAGAUGCCAAAAGGAAGCUUAUUAUUUUAUAGGGACCUCUGCAGAGUGAGCGCCACACUUUGGCUGAAGAGUACAGUUUGUUCCUCACCAUGACCUUGGGGUCCCGUCCCAACUAAUCCAGAGCCAUGUGGGUUUGCAGAGACAGGCAUUCCUCCCAUAUUCUGGCCUCUGACCUGAAAUCUUCUAACUUGAGAAGAGAACAGUCACCUUCCUGGGAAUCUGAAAUAGAAAGGCAAAUUUGUGAAGGCCUUUCUGACAUCUGAAUGGCUGGAUUUGCAUUUGCUGUAGUGAUAACUCAGUGCCAUCCAGACCUGACAGUGAUGAACGAUGCUGGAUUCUGCUCAAAUUCCAUCAAAGCCUGCAGGGUGAAGACUCUGGUCCCUGAACCCAGUGUCCUCUGGCCCUUCCUGUCAAAGCAUUGGAGUGACAGGGAGACAUUUGAGAGGCAGUGAGGAGGAAGGACAGAGGCAUCAGGGUGGGUGUGGCAGCUUCCAUAUUUAGCAGAGAGAAGCAGAGAUGAGGGUAAGAUUAUGAGUGGGAGAGGAGGGAAGGUUAGAGAACAAUGGAAAAAUUUUCUUCUUCAGUGUAAGAAUUCUGGACCCUUAUUUGAAGUCUCUCCUGCUUUGUUGGGCAAAAGUAAUGAGAAACUCCACUUGGCUUCAGAAUGCAGUGUCAACUCCACAUGAAUCAAAGCAAUAAAAAAGAAUCAACUCAGAGCAGGCUGAGCUAUGUGAGGUAUGAAAACUUGAUCAGGGCCAGCGUGAGUAUGGGACUUCAGUCAUGCUCCCACUCCCUCACAGGACCCACACGGGUGGGGGGUGGGGGGAAUUGUUUAAAAGCAUUUAGUUCCUAACUAGCUGCCUCACCCAUUAUCUUCCGUUUCUUGUAAUUUAGGAAACAAAGAACAACAUAUAGCCAGAUCAAUAGCUUAUGUUAUUUUCAUAUGUUAAUUAUUGCUAAACAACUUAGGAACUGCCUUUUCUUUUAUUUCCUUUAAAAAUCCAUUUGUAACUGUUGCUGGUGGGACCGGACUACAUAUUCAGGAUAACUUUAAUCUGUGCUUUGAAGUUUCAAUCCUCAAGACUGGCCCAAAUAAACCCCCUACUUAUAUUAAUCUUGCCUCAGUUUCUUUCUUUUAGGUGGACAGUGGUGAGAGCAAUUAGGCUUUUUGCAGAAUUACUCAUUCUAAAUAUUCUUGCUUGUAUUAUAUUUUAGAUACAAAUUUUCCAGCUGUUAUUUUUCAAGUCAUUGCCUGCUUCACUGUGUCAAUUUCUAGUCUGCAGCCUUUGUAAGCAUUUGUUUCUUUGUUUCAACUGCUUCUUUUUCCUUUCCUGUUACUUCUCUGGCCCCCUGUUCUUUGUUCCUCUCUGAGGAAUGCAGAUCUCUGCUCCUC